rnacentral:rRNA from 1 species
GAUGAACGCUAGCGGCAGGCUUAACACAUGCAAGUCGAGGGGUAUGGUUCUUCGGAACCAGAGACCGGCGCACGGGUGCGUAACGCGUGGGAAUCUGCCCUUGGGUUCGGAAUAACAGUGAGAAAUUACUGCUAAUACUGGAUGAUGUCGAAAGACCAAAGAUUUAUCGCCCAGGGAUGAGCCCGCGUAGGAUUAGCUAG